rnacentral:rRNA from 1 species
AAUAGAUACCCUGGUAGUCCACGCCGUAAACGAUGUCUACUAGCCGUUGGGAGACUUGAUUUCUUAGUGGCGCAGCUAACGCAAUAAGUAGACCGCCUGGGGAGUACGGCCGCAAGGUUAAAACUCAAAUGAAUUGACGGGGGCCCGCACAAGCGGUGGAGCAUGUGGUUUAAUUCGAUGCAACGCGAAGAACCUUACCAGGUCUUGACAUCCUAGGAACUUUCCAGAGAUGGAUUGGUGCCUUCGGGAGCCUAGAGACAGGUGCUGCAUGGCUGUCGUCAGCUCGUGUCGUGAGAUGUUGGGUUAAGUCCCGUAACGAGCGCAACCCUUGUCCUUAGUUGCCAGCACGUAAAGGUGGGAACUCUAAGGAGACUGCCGGUGACAAGCCGGAGGAAGGUGGGGACGACGUCAAGUCAUCAUGGCCCUUACGACCUGGGCUACACACGUGCUACAAUGGAACGCACAGAGGGCAGCAAAGGCGCGAGCUGGAGCGAAUCCCACAAAACGUUUCGUAGUCCGGAUCGGAGUCUGCUAAC